ACGCGAAAGCCCCGCAAGGGGCAAGUAGAGUGGCAAACGGGUGAGUAACACGUGGGUGACCUGCCUUCGAGCGGGGGAUAACGUCCCGAAAGGGACGCUAAUACCGCAUGACAUCCUGCCUUUGAAGAGGCGGAGAUCAAAGCCGGGGAUCGCAAGACCUGGCACUCGGAGAGGGGCCCGCGCCUGAUUAGCUAGUUGGUGGGGUAAUGGCCUACCAAGGCAACGAUCAGUAUCCGGCCUGAGAGGGCGGACGGACACACUGGGACUGAGACACGGCCCAGACUCCUACGGGAGGCAGCAGUGGGGAAUUGUUCGCAAUGGGCGCAAGCCUGACGACGCAACGCCGCGUGGAGGAUGAAGAUUUUCGGAUCGUAAACUCCUGUCGAAUGGGACGAACAGAUCUCGGGUGAACAAUCCGAGGUCCUGACGGUACCGUUAAAGGAAGCCCCGGCUAACUCCGUGCCAGCAGCCGCGGUAAUACGGGGGGGGUAAGCGUUG
rnacentral:rRNA from 1 species